UCGUCGAAACCCCGAUUAGUAAAUCAGCCUUCAUCCAUGCCAGUAGCGUUAGAAACGAAGGAUGACUCCUCGGUCCAAAAUUUUCAGAAACCGCCGCAUGUUAUCCGCUCUAAUUCCUAUGGGGACUUAUCGACGUUUGAUCCUGCCUUUCACAGUACGAUGAAACGAGCCCUCGAGAGGAACUCGUAUGCCAAGCCUCUGAAGCCCCUGAUACGACAGCUGGUACUCUCUUCAUUGCAUAAGUUGUAUGUGGAAUGUUUGGCGAUUGUUAAACGACUCAGUCGGAAUCAGUUGUUUGAGCUUUCUGCUGCCCGGAACCUGUUACUUACUGUACACAGCUGUUGCCGUCGACUUUAUGCGACUAAUGCGAGCUCGAUCAGAAUCUGGUGGCCAGCAUGAAAACAGGGAACGUGAAAACCAGCCACAUACACGUCCAUUCGUCCUGGAGCAUCUCCCUGACGUUCAAGGAGCCGGUGUUGCAUUCUCCUUCGGCGACUUAAUUAUGGCUGUAGUGCUGUGGUACGAAGUGCGGAAGAUGCGUGGACAGUGGUUCCUGUCAGCAUGGGAUCUCGGCGAAGACUCACAGAUUUCCGCGGGCUGCUGUGCAAGUGACAAUCUGAAAGCGGGUCUGGAACUGCACUGCUUCUUCGCCAUACUGGCCACGACAUGCAUGGUGCUGGUAAUGGCAAUAAUCCAGAUAUUUUAACCGGGAUUUGUCUUGGCUCUCUGGCGACAUGUCAUCUAUGUAUUGUGGCAUUACUGCACCGUGCAUACGGCGGGAUAUGGCUUGCUUUUGGCGACUUUCCCAUGUGUCGCUUUAGCUCUGCUCGGCUUGAUUACCGCUUGGCGGUGUCGGCGAACGAUCCUACCGUUUCGGCAUAUAUUCUGGGACGGGGCACAGGAUGAAAGCGGCUAUGAUCUGUCGAGCAUGUCAGGCUGGUUAGACUGCAUGUUCCAUAUGCUUUCGGAUCGAUUCUGCUUCGUAUUAGUGGACCUUGUCGAUUGGUCGGUCCUUUGGUGGGAUGCGUACGGACACAUCCGUUGAUGGCGUCGACUGAAAAACGUUGUGACCGCCAUUGCUCUCCAGAGUACCUCUUCUACGCUAGUAUCCUGUCGCGACA